GACAGAGGUGCCAAGCGUUAGGCGGAAUCACUGGGUCUUAAAGCGUGUGUAGGCGGAUCGUUAAGUACCUUGUGAAAUCCCACGGACUCAACCGUGGAACUGCUGGGUAUACUGGCGAUCUUGAGCCACCUAGGGGCGAGCGGAACAAGCGGUGGAGCGGUGAAAUGCGUAGAUAUCGCUUGGAACGCCAAUGGUGAAAACAGCUCGCUGGGGGUGUGCUGACGCUGAGACGCGAAAGCGUGGGGAGCAAACAGG
rnacentral:rRNA from 1 species